CUGUAAGCCUGUGAAGGUGUGCUGUGAGGCAUGCUGGAGGUAUCAGAAGUGCGAAUGCUGACAUAAGUAACGAUAAAGCGGGUGAAAAGCCCGCUCGCCGGAAGACCAAGGGUUCCUGUCCAACGUUAAUCGGGGCAGGGUGAGUCGACCCCUAAGGCGAGGCCGAAAGGCGUAGUCGAUGGGAAACAGGUUAAUAUUCCUGUACUUGGUGUUACUGCGAAGGGGGGACGGAGAAGGCUAUGUUGGCCGGGCGACGGUUGUC
rnacentral:rRNA from 1 species